CAUGUACUCCCUCCGUCCGAAAAUACUUGUCCUAGAAAUGGUUGUAUCUAGACUUAUUUUAGUUAUAGACACAUUCAUUUUAUUCAUUUCUAGGACAAAUAUUUCCGGAGGGAGGAAGUAUUUC
rfam:Triticum aestivum genome assembly, contig: Triticum_aestivum_CS42_TGACv1_scaffold_197072_3AL